AGAGGGGUGCGAGCGUUAAUCGGAAUCACUGGGCGUAAAGGGCGUUGGUAGGUGGGGGUUCGUAAGUUAGAUGUGAAAGGGCCUGGGCUUAACCUAGGGACUGCAUUUAAAACUGUGAAUCUAGAGUACAGUAGAGGAAAGUGGAAUUUCCGGUGUAGCGGUGAAAUGCGUAGAUAUCGGAAGGAACACCAGUGGCGAAGGCGGCUUUCUGGACUGAUACUGACACUGAAGAGCGAAAGCGUGGGUAGCGAACAGGAUUAGAUACCCUGGUAGUCCACGCCGUAAACGAUGAGAACUAGCCGACUGGAGCUUUGCUCUGGGUGGCGCAGCUAACGCGUUAAGUUCUCCGCCUGGGGAGUACGGCCGCAAAGGUUA
rnacentral:rRNA from 1 species